GCGACGAUAGCUCAGUUGGGAGAGCGUUAGACUGAAGAUCUAAAGGUCCCUGGUUCGAUCCCGGGUCGUCGCG
rfam:Eimeria praecox, Houghton, WGS project CBTT01000000 data, contig: Eph_contig1638_4